rnacentral:sRNA from 1 species
UACCGAAGACCGGUCACCCCGACCCCGAC